AUCGUCCAUUGUGGAUCAGUGUCCAUGCCUGAGGGACUGUCAAGGCACAGGCUAUGACCAUGGUUCACUACCAGGGAGAAGGCAUAAACCCACAACAGGCUUUCUGGAAGAGCGUCUCCGCAAUGUCUCAAAAAGGCUCCACUCUGGCAGACGAGGACAUUUAACAUCACAAGUGCCACAAGACACAGAAUCAUGUUGCCAGAACCAACUAUACCUCCAGAGCGGGCCAUCCAAUUGACGGAGUGGCUGAAAAAUAACAUCUUGCCCCUGUCCUAGGUUGGCCAA